rnacentral:rRNA from 1 species
AUGGAGCACGAGGGAGGUUCUCUCACUAAUUUGUUUCUCUCUGUGCUGCAGCACGAGGGAGGUUGGAUGAACUGCACGAAAAAAAGCUCAGUUCUACAGACAGCCCCCGCCGCCCACACGGACUACUUCCUCCGGUCCUCAUCCAGGUAUGGGGCUCACAUCAGUCCAACUAUUCCCCCCUUAUCCGUCCGAGCUCCUCCUGCCAUGCUCCUUCACGUACGAGCUUUGCCGGCACUGGUGCACGCCACCACACGUUCAAAGAGUGUCUUGGAAAAUGUUCAGAAGUUUGGUUCCAUAAAAAAAUGCACUUGUUCAUCUCGAAAGAUCAUGAAAGUUGAGAAGUCAAGGUGCCUAGCACCUGUUUGA